GAUGAAGAACGUAGCGAAAUGCGAUACGUAGUGUGAAUUGCAGAAUUCAGUGAAUCAUCGAGUCUUUGAACGCACAUUGCGCCCCCUGGUAUUCCGGGGGGCAUGCCUGUCCGAGCGUCAUUGCUGCCCUCAAGCACGGCUUGUGUGUUGGGCCUCCGUCCUCCUCCCGGGGGACGGGCCCGAAAGGCAGCGGCGGCACCGCGUCCGGUCCUCGAGCGUAUGGGGCUUCGUCACCCGCUCUUGUAGGCCCGGCCGGCGCUUGCCGACACAUCAAUCUUUUUUCCAGGUUGACCUCGGAUCAGGUAGGGAUACCCGCUGAACUUAAGCAUAUCAAUAAGCGGAGGA
rnacentral:misc_RNA from 1 species